GAUGAACGCUAGCUACAGGCUUAACACAUGCAAGUCGAGGGACGGGCGCACGGGUGAGUAACACGUAUCCAACCUUCCCUUUACUCGGGGAUAUCCUUUCGAAAGACUGAUUACUACCCGUCUUAAAGGAUGGGGAUGCGUUCCUUUAGGUUGUUGGUGAGGGAACGGCUCACCAAGCCUUCGAUGGAUAGGGGUACUGAGAGGAAGGUCACCCCCAUUGGAACUGCGGCCCGAUCCAAACUCCUACGACGCGCAGCAGUUAGGAGUAUUGGUCAAGGGGCGGUAGCAUGAUCCAGCCAAGUUGCGUGGAGGGUGAAGACUUAUGGGUCGUCAACUUCUUUUAUAUGAGAGUAUGUAUUGUAUGAAUAAGGGUCGGCUAACUACGUGCCAGCCGCCGCGGUAAUUC
rnacentral:rRNA from 1 species